rnacentral:rRNA from 1 species
UACGUAGGGUGCAAGCGUUGUCCGGAAUUAUUGGGCGUAAAGAGCUCGUAGGCGGUCUGUCGCGUCGGCUGUGAAAACCCGGAGCUCAACUCCGGGCCUGCAGUCGAUACGGGCAAACUGGAGUACUGCAGGGGAGACUGGAAUUCCUGGUGUAGCGGUGGAAUGCGCAGAUAUCAGGAGGAACACCGAUGGCGAAGGCAGAUCUCUGGGCCGUAACUGACG